UGGAAGUGAAUUUGCAUAAAUAUUAAGUUGUCUGCUUAAAAUCACCCUAGG
rnacentral:tRNA from 1 species